rnacentral:lncRNA from 1 species
GGAAAAAACUUCAUCCCUGAAGUACUGAAACAUACAUUCCCAGAAGAAAUCACUGAAGUAACAUGCAGGACAUAUUAAUGCUUGGUAUUCAGUUGUUUAUGCGUCUUAAAUUUUGAGAAGUGCUUCCAUUUUCAUUUCUUGGUAAUUUCUUCUAAAGGAUGCUGUAGCUCAGAACUUGGAAAACGGCUUUUAUCCAUACUGGAGGAAUGACACACAUUGUUGAAAGAAUGAGGCAGAUAGCAAAUAUGUUUACCUCAGUAUGACUCCAUGAUAAUCUUCCAGGAGAUGGCUUUUGCUGAAACAACUGAAAUAAAUUCCCUGUGUUUCCCUUGCUGUGAUCAGGUAAUUGGUUUUAUUUGUUGUUACCUAAGUAGGCACUAAAAAGAGAAACCUACUGAUGGCCUCUGCAGCCCUUCCAUGGGCCAUGCCAACAAUGUAACAGAAAGUCAAUAAUUUGGGUUUUGUAUCCGCUUCGUUAAAACAUCUCACCCAAGUGAAAACUGCAAAUUACAUUUUUGCAUCUUUUGUCUUAAUCAAAUUUAAAAGCCCUAGGUAAAGGUGUUUGUUUAUCACACCACCUGAAGUACGAGCACUCAGCAGCUGAGAGCUGGAACCAGAGGGGAAAUUCCCAGUCAACUAGAAGAACAAAGCAUGUGUAUGAACUGGUACUUCAUGCUUCUGCCUUACAUUUGAAGAAGGAUCAUGCAAUUACAUUUACUGAGUUACUUGCACUUGGAUUCUUGGCACUUCUGGAAGAAAAAAAAAAAGAUCUUGAGAAGAUUAAAAGUAUUGCAGACCACAGAGAGGAGGACAGUCAAGGAGGAAAGGUGGGAAACAACAGUGUGAGGGACUCAUGGAGGAAACGGAUACCAACUUUUACUGGGAUGUGAUUACUUCAGAGUGG